rnacentral:lncRNA from 1 species
CCAUCAUCUGGUAGCACACAGGUCAUUAAGUGACUCAUGGGCGUGAUUUCAAAUGCGGUUCAACAUUGCUUCAGAAAUAUGCUGGAACUCCUUGAAACAAAUAACCCACAAUCAUAAGAAGCUGACUGCUCUGGCCAAACCUCUGGCUAGUCAUACUCCCAGAAGAUGAUGGCAAUUCAUUGGCCAAGGGAGGAUAUGGAUGACCAUGAAUGAGGAAGCACUUUUCCCUGGGAGGAAAUGGAAACCAGUGGAUAUAACAUGUCAGCUGUGGUGUUUGGAGGAAUAAUAUACAUUAGGGUUAUGAGGGUUUACAGCCACACACACGUCUGGUUGAUCCUGAGAGUCAAACAGAUGAUGAUUCAUGGCAGACCACCCCGAUAGCAUAGCAAACUGUGGCACAAAAAGUGUGCGUGUGUGCAGUCUGCAUGUGAUGUAUUCCUUUGUUCAUAGUGCAAAGAGGAUGGCUACAGAGAAAAUGGGAUAUUUUAAAGUGGACAGACAAGACAAG